rnacentral:rRNA from 1 species
CGGUAACAGCUCAAAUUUGAAAUCUGACCUUUCCGGGUCCGAGUUGUAAUUUGUAGAGGAUGUUUCGGAUAAGGCUUUGGUUUAAGUUUCUUGGAACAGAACGUCACAGAGGGUGAGAAUCCCGUACGUGCCCGGUGGCCGCCCCCGUGUGAAGCUCCUUCGAC